UGCCCAUUUUGUGCAGUUGAUAGUAUUUUAAGCAGCGCCUAGCUGUACAAACGUCAGGUAAAGAAGGUAUUGAUUCAAACGUGUUUAACAUCCUUGAAAUUUUUGUACAUCAAACUUGAUUAUGUCGGUCUAUAAGGGCUUCGUAUUUGCGUUGGUUGUUCUGGCACCACUAUUACUAUUCCGCUGCUCGGGAGAUCGAAUCGAUAAUGGAGGUAUCGCUUCAUGUAACAAAACCUGCACUGUCUAUACGAAUGGAAGCAACAGCGGAUGCCCAACGGGCUGCUCUUGCAUCAGCGACAACUACAGUGCUACUGUUGGCGGAGGACAAAACCCACCUGGAAAAGGGAGCUGCUGGGCCACCUCAGGCUAAGGCACUUGAGCCUAAAUGAAAAGAAGGGACUUCCAGAUCUUGGCAUGCGUUAUACAAAGAUGCAUAUUGGACGUUUGAUUGGAUACCGGACCAACUGUGUGUGCAUUGGACAAUUAGAGAUUUGUCAAGGAAGAAUACACGUUGUCUGUUUAUUUCUCCAUGUCCAUAAUUAAGUGUUGGUUUCACAGAUUAAAAAAGGCACUUUCUUUUAAUAA